rnacentral:lncRNA from 1 species
UUUUGCAAAAAAAAUUUGGUGGGGCUAAAGGUAUGGGGAGGUAGGAUUGUACUAAAGAUCUAUUGUAGUUGGUGACUUGUCAGACUCAUGCAUUAUACUAAGAAAGCAAAAUAAACAACUAAAAAGAAAUAACAAUAAAUAAACUAUCUAAAAACAGCAAAGAAAAAAUGAUAAAGGAAAAACGAGAAAAGUAAUAAAGAAAAG